rnacentral:misc_RNA from 1 species
UGGUUCUGGCAUCGAUGAAGAACGCAGCGAAAUGCGAUAAGUAGUGUGAAUUGCAGAAUUCAGUGAAUCAUCGAAUCUUUGAACGCACAUUGCGCCCCUCGGUAUUCCGUGGGGCAUGCCUGUUCGAGCGUCAUUUACACCCUCAAGCCUAGCUUGGUAUUGGGCGUUUGUCAAGCUUCGCGUUUGACUCGCCUUAAAAUCAUUGGCAGCCUGCCUUCGCCCGUCCGAGCACAGCACAAACGUGUCUCGAAACAGCGAAAGUAGGCUUUCCAAAAGCUCUUUUUUCAGUUUGACCUCGGAUCAGGUAGGAAUACCCGCUGA